rnacentral:rRNA from 1 species
GAUGAACGCUGGCGGCGUGCUUAACACAUGCAAGUCGAACGAUGAAGCCCAGCUUGCUGGGUGGAUUAGUGGCGAACGGGUGAGUAACACGUGAGUAACCUGCCCUUAACUCUGGGAUAAGCCUGGGAAACUGGGUCUAAUAUCGGAUAGGAGCGUCCACCGCAUGGUGGGUGUUGGAAAGAUUUAGCGGUUUUGGAUGGACUCGCGGCCUAUCAGCUUGUUGGUGAGGUAAUGGCUCACCAAGGCGACGACGGGUAGCCGGCCUGAGAGGGUGACCGGCCACACUGGGACUGAGACACGGCCCAGACUCCUACGGGAGGCAGCAGUGGGGAAUAUUGCACAAUGGGCGCAAGCCUGAUGCAGCGACGCCGCGUGAGGGAUGACGGCCUUCGGGUUGUAAACCUCUUUCAGUAGGGAAGAAGCGAAAGUGACGGUACCUGCAGAAGAAGCACCGGCUAACUACGUG